AACGAAUUUGAAUGAAGAGAGAGGCUUUCGGCGCCAUUUUCGAGUGGAGAGGCUAUCACAGCAACAGCGGCGCGCAGGCGGAUAGACAGAGGAUGGAAAAAAUAAUGUUUUUUUUCUCCCAAAGGAAUUUUAAAAAUAUAUGAAAAAUCAUCAAAAAUACAGAAUGAAAAGGGAACUAUUAACGGCCACAGGAUUGGUGGACAAGGACAAAAUUAGCUACGAUUAAAGCAAGCAGGAGAAUCGCUGAGAAGGAACGGAGAAGGGCUUUCUGACUUGACUGCGAUUGGGAAAUUCAACAUUUUAAAAAACGAAAAUCUCAAAAAAUCAAUGGACCAUCCUAAAAAUACUUAAAAAUCUUUAAAAAAUAUUUUGAAGGGCAAAGAGUGGAGUGGGCGUAUUUGCAGUUACGUUUUCGGCGUUUAUGGUCUAUUUUAAGGUUAAAUUUGAGCGGGAGCGCCGUUUGCUGUCAGCGCAGUCUUAUUAGCUAGCACAUAACCCAUAGACUAGACUAACACUGGCCAGCUAACGACUAGCUGCUGAUUUUAAACUAACUUUGCAUGGCCAAAUAUCGAGCAAUGACAUUUGGACAUUUCCCAUCCACACAGACCAAUUUUACCUUGCUAACGUUCAAUUAUUUUGCGCCGUUUUCAUGUUUUGAAAGGAAGUGACUAACUUGGCAAGCUAGCCGAGCUAAAAAAGAUAAUUAUUUAACUUGUUUAGAAUAAUGAUUCAUAAGGUGACUUACCAAACUUAACAACCUUUUAGCGUUAAAUGUGAAAUGGACUCCCUGUAAAAAUGGAAUUUAUCUUCGUUUCGUGGUAAGUGUCAUGAUUGUAACAUUUGUAUACAAUCUUGUUAUUUUUAUGUACUGUUGGCUGUGUGUAUGUUGUUCUACAGUACUGUCAGCUAGUUAACGUUGGCUGAAAGCUGGUGUCGUUAGCUAGUCCACAUAUAACGGUUCAGUGUAAAAUGCCAUUCCGCUGCAUAGGCUAGGUUCUUAACUUCGCUAAUACAAGCUAGCUGUUAAUGUUAUUUUAUGAAGACGAUGUGUUCUCCCGUUGACCGCUUUUUCUGUUAGUCGCAUCUACUGUAGCCUAGCUAGACUAGACUACAUCCCACCAGAAAUUACAUAUUCGCUGCUUCAGAUUACGUUCCUUAUAAAUUUGCCAAAGACCGUUGGUGCAAUGCACGCUUAACGUUGUCGCUUAAGUUUAGCUAACUAUAAAUUACGACUAGAGAAUUGCUUACUUGGUGUUGCAGUAAACAUUAUUUCUACUUUCUUAAUCAACGUUGACAGUGCCACUCGCAUUUUUAUUGGCCAGUUAAGUAAGGUUAGUUGAAAGGCCGUCUUACGUUAACCGUUUCAUCGUUCAAUUGGUAAUCGUUAUGGAUAACAUUAACUUUGUUAGCUAGACCGUUUUUUAACCGACACAGUAAUAUUGAACAUCGCUAGGUAAUGAAGUAGACUAAAGUUUGCUAAUGUUAUUCCGUAGUCUCAAAAUAUUGGCAUAGUAUAAUGAAAAUCUGGCAGCUAGGCACAGUUAGACUAACGGAAUAGAUACGAUAGCAUUUUGGUUUUCAUCGCAAAGACUGCUUAUAAGUAAUGUAGCUUAACGUAUUCUAUGCGUUCUCUAACUUUGUUUGGUGGUUAUAUAUUGCCAAGUUGGCUAACACCAACUACAUUUUUCUUUAUUUGCAUGUCGGAUAAAGUAACGUCUAGCUAAUGUUAAUCAAGACUUUGAUGCUUCAAUCAGUUGACCGAAGUGUGGCGUCUAUCAAGCCAACUAACUAACCAAAUCAAUUACAGACCUGCCUAGCGUCAACUGUAUUAAACGCCCAUUACAUUAGUCCCUGCGUUGCAUGCAAAUAGCGCUCUUGGAAAUUUCUGUCAGUAAAGCAAGGCAUGCAGGUCCAGGGGAGAUGGGGCGACGGGCCAGAUGUAGCUAACGGUAACGGUAGAAGUUAACGUUUGGCUCUAAGGAUAAGUUUGACGUAUUAAUGUGCAGUGGGCUUGCCACUGGCAGCGCAUAUUGUAUUCGUAUUAGAUUUCAUGGGCUAGCGUGUGUGAUUCACUUGCAUGCUGGUUAAGUUAGCUGCUGUGUGAUCUUGUAAAGACCUUGUGCUAGCAGUUAGGAAGCUUGUCAAAUGCAGACGUGAAAGUCAUGAAAGCUGCCUUCUAGCUUUCCACGGUUCAUGCCCAUCAACUUUUUUUAGAAGGAAAAUGGUUAUUGGUCCUGGUUGUUCCUGACGUGACCCAAACCACUUGCUUAUUUGUAACUUUAAUAAUUAAGUGGUUAUUCUCGGUAGUCCUCAAAUGACUAAUACCACUGUGUCAUAGAUGAAUUUUUAACCACAAAUGGUACCAGUUGAACGGAUCAUUUUGAAAUAACCUGUGCCGCAGCACCCGUGUUGGUAACCUUUUUUUCUAACUUCAGAAGAAAUUACACGGGUCUUUGCCAUCUAGUUUCCGAAACCGUCAGCCAACUUGUCAGACUGCCGUGCUGGUUUCACAUUUAGUGAUUGUAUUUGUGUGAACGCGUUAAUUCACUAAGUCAGAUGUCAAAUCUUUAACCAUUUUGCUUAAAAAUAAUUGCACCACAAUACAGUGCGUAUUAUCUUCAUUUUUUUGACCAGACUAUAUCGGUGACUCAUCCCUCUCUGAAGUGGGGGCUAGUAAGCAUCACUUUUUCUACUUUCUUUUUUUUACAAUGCCCCUUUCCCUCUUUUUUAGUGCGCCACCGAGAACUAGUUGUAUUUUAGUGUACUUUUGACUGGUUAAGUAGCGCUGCACAGAUAAUAUAUUUAUAUACAGACCGGACGUAUCGGUUAGUACUUGUGCGUUUUCGGGUGUCUGAAGUUCAACUUGAUUUUCUAGCUGCAAACGGACGCCGUUUAACAUUUACUGUGAGUCCUACUCUGUACACUUUGGUAUCUACAUUUACGACGUAGAUUCAUAUUAUAAGGCUAAGUAUAUACAGCCUAUUCGAGUCACUCCAGAAAUCCUCUAAUAUUUAAUGAAAAUGUGGCCAUAUUCAGUUGCUGUUCUAGGGAACCAUCAAUACAACAAAGUAAAACCAAUGUUUGGAGCAAGAAGUGUUAAUUAAAUUUUUAUUUAUUUUUAUUAUUUAGGUUUGAGUCUUACAUUUCUUAUGACAUUACACUUGGUAUGCUCCAGGAUUUAUUUUGGUCAGGAAAAAUAAGGUAAAUUACAUGUAAUCAACAUUUUUUGUAAUUACACUGUGACUUACGGGAUUAGAUGUUGUUCUCUUUGUAUGAUUAUUGUGCAUUGAGCAGUAUUUUAUGUGGGUUGUUGCAGUCUAGAUUUUUCCAUUUUAAUUUUAUUUUCCAAAGGGGAGAGAGAUCUGAUGCUUCAGAAAUAGUUCAGGCAUCUUUAGGGUUUUUAUUUUUUUAUUUUAUGUACUUGGGACAUUUAUAAGUGGUACCAAGUCUAGAAUAAAAUGUAAGAUCAAAUGUAGGUUUUGUAGUGUUUUAUGAUAUUUUGUCAUUGAAGAAAGUGCAUCCAGGGUGUUUAGGAACUGAAUGUGCAGUAUUGGUGUCUUAACAGUUAUGAACUUCGGCAGCUGUGUAAUGUUUGUUUGAACCUGUUAAAAGUGCAGAGCUGUUUCUUUUAUAUUUUUUUAUAAAAAAAAAAAAGAUUCUUUAUUAAAAUACAAGAACCGCUACUUUUAUAACUGCAGAUUUAUACAUAGUGAAAAGCUGGCCUGCAUUACUGCAGGUGGAAGUUGUGGAGUUGUUUCGGGGAUCCUGGUUCAGGCCAGACUUACAGGAGGAAAAGCUGAGGACCUGUCCUAGCUGGCAGAAGCAGGAUAAUGCAGGGUUACUCCUAGGUCCAGCGCAGUGGGAAUCAGGCUAGGUGAUUCUGUAAUAAGUAACAAUUGGCAAAGUUAUAAGCAAUAAAAAGGAGGAAGGCCUGGUGCCCUGUGUGUCUCUCAAUGUGAAGCAUCUUGCAUUUUUAUUGCCCCGUGGCCUUGAUAUUUGGAUGGUUCGGAGAGGAAAUGUGAGGUCGUUUGUAAUUUCCACCCCAGUACUUGGUCGUAGUGAUGUAAACGCUGCCAUCGCAGUCCUGUUCCUUAUUUUCCCGAUUUAGACUCGUCAGUUGGCACAACUGAUAACAGAUUAGUAAAUCCGAUGUGUGUUGCCCAGUUACAAAGCUUACUACUUCUGAAUGUCAUAAAUGGUUACUCCCCUUAGAUAUUAUGAUAAUUGUGAUAUUAUUUGAGUGGAAAUAUGGAAAGUUGUUGAUAGAUUGGUAGUUUUUGUUCUUUUGAUGCUUAGAUGUCUACUUUAAGUAGAUUGAAAUGCUUAUUACAGGUGAAGUGUGUACUUGCAGUUUCAGUAACUUUCACUAUGAAUGCAUAUUGCAGGUAUUGUUUGAGGUUAAUUUAGUCUGGUGUAAUUUGGUUAUGCUGCCAAUUAUGGGAAAAAUAAUCAGAAUGAGCCUGUGUAUUUGUUUAUGAUAAUACAAAGGUAUGAUCUAUCUUGAGUAGCAGAACACUGCAUUGAAAUGUGAGGUACAGUUAUUUCAACAGAACACCCCUCCCCUCUCUCUCUCGCGCGCACACACACACACACACACACACACACACACACACAGUAUCUUGUCUAUCCUCUUUAUAGUUGGUGCCACACCAGGCAGCAUGCAAUUUAAACGUAUGUUUAGAAACUAAUCCCUCAAUGUAUAUACAACAGUAUUCCUGAACAUUUUGUUAAGUGAUCAUGUUUAAGGUUAUUUCUUCAUUAUUACUAUUCAUUAAAUGUUUGUGAGAAGUCUUAAAAGAACUGAAAGCUCCCUGAUAAUGUUGGCUGCCUCAGCAAGUAUUUGUUGAUUAAACUGGGCUUUUUAAUAUUGGAAAUGCAGCGCUCUUGUAAUCUGCAGUGGAAUAUAAAUAUAGGGUACUUUUUUGGAAUGUUUAAGCAGACUUCUCGUUGAACUAUAAUGUAUAAUUAUAUCUUAACUGGUGAAAAAUAUUUAGCCAGUUGUGAAGUGGAAAUGCAUGAUCUCUUCCCACUGUUUGGCCGACAAAUAACGGAUCUUGGGUCUUGAACAAGUGGAUCAGUUUGCCGCAGUCAGUGAAUUUGUUUAUUAUUUAAUUGUUUUUUCCCCGAGCAGACUUUCAACACUGACUCCAGAAUAAUUCCUGAUCAGUUCUAUAUUAAGGGGGAAAAAAGAUGCUUCCAGGAUGACUUGCGUGGGUGAGUUACGUGUCAUUAUUUAGCAUGGACAUGGUCAUGUACAGGGAAUGUUGCAUCACAUAGUGGUGUAGUCUAGAAAAGUUUAGUUUUGCUUGUUGGUGGAAACGAGACAUCCCACCCCCAUUGUUGCACAUUGAGGUCAGUGUGGUGAUUUUGGCCUACCUUUUUUAGACCGGUGUACAAGUGGUCAGAUCGCACAUUUCUUUCCUCACGGGAAUAUCGGUAGAUUUCUAAAUCUCACUUUCACUCCGACGAUAAUGAAAUAAAAUGGUUGUUCCUGCAUCUGUCAUUAAGUGGGACGUUGGUGUAAAUAACCUUCUCCUUCACCCUUUUCUCGAGGGCUGUCCUCUUGUCCUUCUCUCCAGUCUGUUAUUUCUUCUGUUGGAUUUCUGAACUUGACGUGUCCUCAGGAAUUUUGUAAUCUGGUCUGGGCAUUUUUUUUUUUUUUUUUUGUAGGGGAGUGCUUGCGAAACUUGAUUGUUAAAUCUUGCACCACGUUUUCCUUUGUGGAGAAGAAAGGCUGGCAAAUGUUAUUCUUCUCUUCCCUGUUUCUCCUCUGCCUUCUCCUCUCUGGUAGGAAGCCACUCCUGGAAAUGGCCACGCCAGGGCACUGUGGUGGUGUCUACUUUAUAGGUUAGGGAGUAUCUGGAGAGCCAGUAAUCAACAAUGUGCAACAUUUUAUUUUAUUUAAAAAAAUAAAAAAUAAAAAGAAUUAACUGUCAGAGGCUAUGGACAUUUUUCACUCCAUGUAUAGGAUGUAGAGUCUGGUUAAUAAAAAAUAAAACUUAAAAAUCCCAAAAAUUACAGCUGUAUCAUUGUGUAGGGCUGUUUUAUUGCCUCUCUUCCCCCUUUUUGUAAUACUUUUUCAUUUUUAAAAUUUUUAUUUAUUUUUAAAUAUAUGAUUUGAAAUCCUGAGCUCUGUCAUUUUCACGUGUGUGUGGCUGGUUGAUGGUAAUUGUAACCGAGAAAGUUGAGUGGUUUCGGUAGUAUUCUAAUUCUGAGUGUUUUCAAAGAAGGAAAGUGCCCAUGUUAAAAAAAAAAAAAAAAAAAAAAAACCUUUGUGGGGGUGGGGUGGGGUUGGAGGAGGGACAGGGAACUGCAGGGAAAUGCAGAAGUGAAAAGUCUGAGCUGUGUCGGAACAGCCAGAUCUCCGGCGUCUGCUCGGAGAGAUCAGGUGAGGAGGAAGGCUCGGCUGUGAGGGCUGAUAUGUGGGAAGGGAAAGAGCUCUCCUGUGGUCACAUGGGCUUGGCUUCCCCUCUGCACGGUACGUGCUGUCACGUUCCUCUUACCAGGUCCCAAGGAUUGUCAGUUCCUGAACUUCGCCGCUUGCAACUAAACUAGUUUCAAGGUAAGCUUUAACCUGACAGUGGCACUCUAAGACUGAGCUGCUCAUUGCAAUAAAUGUGGUGUUUCCCAAAGCUGUUGGAAAUGUAUAAAUUUUGUCUUAUUUAUUUAUUUAUUUUUGAGGGUGGAAAAGCAACCGAUUCCUAAAGUUAUGAGCCAUUUCUACUGAUUGGUAAUACAAAUUUUAAAAAUUAUUUAAAAUUAAUUAAAAAAUUAUUCACACCCAGCUCAUUUUGUCAAGUGUGUGUGUGUGAAAGUUCUGUAAAAGUGGAAGUGGCUUUUUCAGGGUUCCUCUUCAAGGCAACUUUGAGUGUUUGAAUGUCCAUGGUGAUAACUAGUUUAAAUCAAGCUUCCCCUGUUACUUAGAGGAUGUUUACUUCAAAAUGGUUUUUUUGUCUCCAGGUCACUGAAAAAAAAAAAAGUAAAAUAUUCAUAUACAAUAAAUAAGAAUGGAAAUGGAAAUAUCCUCAGAAAAUGUUGCAUUAAAGUAGUUAUUUUAAGGUUUUUUUUUUUUUUUUAAACCACACUCCAUCAUGCCCAGGACUUAGCAGUGUACAGCACUGGUUGUACCUGCGCUGGUGUCCUUUGUGAUGUUGCCUGCUGGUUAUUUUAGCAUUGGGCGGUUCCGCCACACAGCAGUUAAAUUUCUCCUACCACAAAAAUCCCCACCGCUAAUUUGGCCUAAUUGCUGCGGAGCCCAAGCUGCUGUACAGAAGCUGAAUCACCUGCAGCCUUUCGCUAGCCUGGUCACAGAGGGUAGGCUGGCUAUGGGUUAGCCCCAGAAUCAUCAUGGGCACUCUUACAAGUGUGUAAGAGUUGCAUGUAAGUGACUGUUGUAUGAUUGUGUGUGAGUGUGUAUGUAUGAGUGAUGUAUGAUUUUGUGUGUGAGAGCAUGUGAUUUGUAUGAUUGUGUGUGUGAGAGAGAGAUUGUGUGCAUGUGUGUGUGUGAUUGUAUGAUUAAGAGUGUGUUGGUGCAAUUGUAUAAUUGCAUGUGUGGGUGUGGAGCUGGGGGGAGUCACUGUCAGUAGCUCCAGGGUUUGUUUAGGAGUUUUUUUUUUUGCAGUUUAUUUUGGUGAAAAUAAUUUUUUUACGUGAACCCAGGCCUUUUAAUUUACUUAUUUUAAUAGUUUUCUUCUUGUUGCAAAAUCCUGGGUUUUUUAAGUGCUGCUUGUGCAGCCUGCAAUAAUUUAGCAGAUAAUUUACUGUCAGUGCCAUAUGUGUCAGUGUGCUGUGUGUCAGCAUUUUCCAUACAUUGACUGUAAUUACUCAGGCCAGUCCUGUUCUUCUGCAUGGAUAUGAGAAGCUGAUACUUUUGAUUUCCUUUUUCCCUGUAGUUCAGCUCUCAUAUUGAGGUCUGAUGACUUUGUGGGCCACUAAGAACAAAUUAAAUAAAACAUUGGAGGCUAACUCGAGUGGGUCUAGCUAGCUCACUGUGUGCAUUACAUUUGUUUUCCUGUAAGGUGGCUGUCUUUUUUUUUAAUUAUUUUUUUUCCCCUCCAUUAAACUUUACCAUAUUCGUUGGUGUGCUUGUAUGGUUAAAAUUUAGAAUGAAAAUGUGUCUUAGAACUUUUCUCUUAAUUUGUUAGAAAAACAAAUGUUGGCCAUAUUUCGGAUUGAUGUGUUGAUCGUAACUCAUCUGUCAUUUUCCACAUUUUUCUGAAUGGUAAUGUGUUGUGCCCUUUCAAAUGUUAUAUUUUUGUCUGCUGAGCAUAUUCUGCGAUUCAAAACAGGAGUGCAUUAUUACUAGUGGUGCUGAAUCAUUUCUACAUUAUAUCAAUAGUUGCACUUUCAGACUGCAGUUACUUUACGUGUGAUAUGGAAACUUAGCUGCAAUACUGUUUGAAGGUGUGAUGUGUUUAAAAACUUUUUUUUUUCCUUUCUGUAAGUGUGCCGAUUGGUGAUAGUGUUUUUGUGGUUGUUUUGUUUUUGGUGUUUUGUGCAUCAUUAGCCUGCUUAAAGCUCACAGGGUCAUUUCCCGCUGGGGAUCGCUUAUUGCUCGCUGUCACUCAUUUCAGACUCUGUGCCGUUAGUGGACAUUUGCCCCAGUGCAGACAUUUUGCGAGUGUGUCUGUGUGUGUGUGUGUGUGUGUGUGAGAGAGAGAGACAGACAGAGAGAGGCCUGAACAAAGAUGUGAUUUUUGGCCAGUACAUGCAGUUAAAAUCAUAGCCUGUAUUUGCUUGUGAUUUAAAAAAAAAAAAAAAAUUAUUCUCAGACUAACUAAAGCAGCUUUAUUUGUGUAUAAUUGUACAUAAAUGCUUUAAUGGGACACUUUGUAGAUUGAUCCAGCAGUUUCCUAUGGUACUGCAAAGAAAACUUUGUAAAUUAGCAUUUAAAAAAAAAUAUAGAUAUAUAUUUUAUUAUUAUUAUUAAUUUUUUUUUUAAAGCUGGAUUUUAAAAUGAUGGCUGAAUGUGGAAUUGCACUGUGACACAUAAACACCACUUAGCCUGCCUUUCAGCUUCAGGCAGUGUUUCCAGCAGGGGUGUGUCCUGUAGGCAGAUCACUCUUUUUGGCAAUUUAUAACUUGUGAAAAGUGCUCAAUUUGAUCAAGCACUUUCAUGCAUCUAGUAAUAUCCUACAUAUCCGAUUUGUGUGCUGUACAUUUGGUUAACCAUGGCUGAAUAAUUUUUAUUUAGAAAUUGCUGAUGAUUGUUUAACUUAUUUCAGUUGUUUUCUGUUUUCCUAAAUGUAUAAAUACCCUACCUGGACCUCCACCCUCAUUUGGAUCUCCAUGUCAUUUUCAGAGAUUUAUUGUGCAUAUUUCUAAGUAUGUAAUUGGAGUUCAUCAGUUUCUAAUGGAUUGUGCCUAAAUGGACAGUUGGACUCUUAUUAAAAUUAAAAUAAUAAUUUAAAAAACAUUUAAAGCAUGUAAAACAAAUUAUUAUUUUUUAAAUUAAGAAUAUUAGUGAGUUGAGGCUAAUACAGUAGUAAUGACAUGAAGUCUUGUGGGGUGGGUGGUGUACGCUGGCCUGUUUGGGUUUUGCAGCCCCAUUGGGGGACUGGCUGUGUACUGUUCAGGUGUGUUGAGGCAUUUUAUGAACAUAUUAUAUUUUAAAUGACUGCACAGUGUUUAGAGAUUGAGGGUGUGCUCCUGUUUCUGGUGUUGAAACUGCUGCUUCUGUAAAUAGGGUUUCUGUAGAUAAACUGCAGUGACAGGUCUGUAUUGCAUUGUUACCCAGGUUGUUUGGAAUCGGGGGUGUUGUCGUUGGUCCUGUUUAGGUUUAUCUGUGUGUUUGUCUCUCCCCUGUCCUAAAUAUGCACACUGGCAACAAUUGAGCACUACGCACACUGCAGCCGACAGUGGAGAGGGCGUUAUCUGGGUAAUUUAAUCGUGCUUUGCCAGUGAAACGGGACACCCAACACCCUGACGGACACGGCCUCCAUAUCGCCGUUCUCCUCCAUGUGCUCUGUGACUCUGUACACGCUGUCUGUCUGGAGCUGCAGCCUCCAUGCACUGCCUUUGUAAUCCUCAAAAGUGUGAUUUGGGCUCUACUUGACAUACAAGGCCAGAUGCUCUCUGUACAGUCUGGGUUACAUUUCAUCAUUGACUUUCUGUAGCUGGAUGUAACUGGUAUUUAUUCAUUAAUUUUUUCCCCAUAUUUUUGUUACAUUUAAAAUGUGUGUAUUUAUUUUAUUUUUUUUACGUGUCACGCACAUGUGCAUGCACACACACACACACACACACACACACACACACACACAGACAGUUCAGAUUAUUUUUCCAUAAUUUAAAAGGCACUAUUUAAAUUAGUGCCGUUUAAAUAUCCUCUGAAUUUUGUCAAUUUUACUUUGAUUUUUAUCUCUUACGAUCCUGAUCUCUUCUCUCCCCCCCCCCCCGUUCUCUCGCCUCGAUUUACACCUCUGUCCAUUUACUUCCAUUUUGUCCCAAAUGAGGUGUGUAUUAAACUGCAGUGCUUGAUUUGAUAUUUAAUUUGGAAGUCACAUGCAGAUAAAAUGGUAAUUUUCCCCAGCAUAAAUAUAUAUUCCAUUUAACACAUACACACACACGCGCACACACACACUCGGAUUGACCCACCUUGUCUGGCAGUGGGCUGGAGUGUCUAUUAGCUGCUCCUGAUGGGUACAGGCUGGCUGAGCUGUUCCAUAUCGGUCAUACUAGCAACGGAUUACUGAGUCUUUUUAAUAUAUAUAUAUAUAUAUAUACACACACACAUUAAUUACAGUGUAUUUUAGCACGGCAUGAAAAUGCCAUAUGACAAAUUCAGUUCCUACAGAAGUGUGUAAGGUCUGUGAUGGUCUCACAUUUUAAAAAUGUAUUUACUAAAUGGGUACACUUUUUUGCAAUUUUUUUUGUAUAUAUGUAUUUUUUUAAAAGAUAAUAUAUUCCCCACCUGAAAUGAACACUUCCCCUUACAAUGGCACAGUGUUUGUGAUUAGUCAAGUGUUGCGCUCCAAACGUGGUCCUUCGUGGUCUUUGCACAGUCAGAGGAUUUCAGAACGUUAUGGAAUUUGGUUUGAAGAAAUUUUGUUAAAUUUUUUUAUCUUAAAAAUAUUGUGAAAUUACAUGGCUUUAAUUUUGUGUUAAUGGGAUAUUUGUGUCAUCAGCAAAUGUUUAAAUGAUGGAUUACACAACUUUUGAUAGCCUUGGAAAAAUAGUUGGACUUAAUUUUUUGCAUUAUGUGUUUUUAAUUUAAUUUAGCUUUGCUGCAGAAAGACAACUGACUGACUGGCAUAACUUGUCAAAUGUAUGGGGAUAAAUUAUUUAAUCAUUAGUUCUAGGAACUUGCUUUUGCUGAAAGUGGUGAUGUUAAAAGUUUCUUGUCACUGCAAUGAGCCAGUAGGUUUUAAUUAUCAAAGGGGAUAUUUUCCAUUCCAGGACGACUGCUGCAUGUGGAAGUGAGCAAGUCAGUUGUAUGUAAAGCAGAAGGAAGCAGACAGCAGGGUGGGGUUGGGGAGGUGUGGCCUGUUAAAUUGAAUGAUGCGAACCUGCAUGCUGCUGUUUUCUGCUGGGGUUCUGGCGUCUCAUUUAUGUAUUUAUUUUUUUUGCUGUGUUUCAGAUGGCUUUGAGCCCUGGCAUCCUGUGUGCGUGUGUGUGUGUGUGUGUGUGUGUGUGUGUGUGUGUGUGUGUGUGUGUGCGUGCGCACCAGCUCGAGAGAGGGAGAGGUGCCCUGGCAGUGCUGUAGCAGCACAGAAUGGUUUGUGGGUUGUACUGAGAUGCAGGCCGUGCUGUGCUGCCGCAGUAACGCCUGGACGAGGCAGGCUUCCCUGGAAACGUGCAAAAAAAAAAAAAAGUACAUGAAGCAGAGGGAGAGGGCCGGGAGAGCGCUGUGGUCUCCUCCUUUCUUCCUCCUCGACUGGCCGUCUUGCUGUAGCAGCACGUAAAUAUUGGAGUUUGACCACUGCUGAUGUCUCCAGUAUUGAUCGUGCUGCUGAAGUAAGGUUGGUCACCCCGUCCGUUAGUCGUCGCCCGCCUUGCCAUGGUCCCGCCUCGGCCACAGGGAGUCGGGGAUGGCGAUGACGUAUUGGGAGCGUAGCGCGCACAGGUAAAAGGAAGUUAAACGAGGACGUUGUUUGUUAUUGCUUUAGGGACGUGUUUUUAAUGAGUGUGUGCUGUUGGAGCUUUAUUUCGUUACUGCACUUAGUAUAUGUCUGCACAUCACCUAGUUGCCUUUUUUGGGUUGACAUUUGAUCUUAUUUGUCUUGGUUCACACGUUUUUGCUGAAGUAUGUAAUGUCACCAUUUUCGAUGACGUUUAAUUUUGUUUUUUUCUUUUUAAGAAAUUGUAUAUUUAAAACAUGGUAAUUGUUUUGACUGUUUAUUGGGCAUUGUCCAUUAAGUGUACAAAAUUUAGUUUUUAUAUUGCGCGCAACAUGGAUUGCAAUGGAUCCAUCUGCAGGGCGGCACGUACAAUGCAGUCUGAAGAAGAUAGAAACCUUACUGCCUCGUAUUUUAAACUGAUUAGAUUUUGCUUGCAAGAUAGUUUGGAAACUGAAAGUAGAAUAACAAAAAAGUCUCCCUAUAACAUCAGUUCUCAAAUUUAUAUUGUUUUAUUUUUUAUUAUUUUUUAUUUUUAACAUUAUGCUGGGAGAUUUUAGAAGUCUUAAUUUCUGAAAGUGGCGAUGCGUCCCGUUAUAGCGCGCAACUGAUUGAAGACCUCAUUCAGCGAAGGCUACAGUUACCAGCGUAGCCCGAUUUUGGCAACAAACUAAAUGGCGUUUUUCGUCACGUCCAGUUUCCUGGAGUUUUCAGAAUCCCACUUUAGAGAUUGUAGAAAAGUAUGAUGCAACCAUUUGGUUUCUAUUGUGUUGAUGUGUCCUGGCGUUACCGAGGGCGCGCGCGCCAUUUGCCCCUGUGAUGCACAGCAUUGUGCAUUUCAGAACCAACUGAUUGCUAUAAAUAUGUGAAGAUGUAAUGAUACACUGCGCCGGUUACAAUUGAGUUGCAUCAGCUGGUGUUGACCACGAAUGACAUGACUGCACCGAAGAUAACGUGCGACAUUCGUGUACAUUUAAUCGCCCGUGUUUUGGUACAAAUGUUUAUUUGUAAAUGCUAUUUGAAAUAAAAUGUUUUCGUGAA